rnacentral:misc_RNA from 1 species
AUUUCUCUUUUUGUGUUCUCGGCCCGCUUCGUUCGCGCGUGUGCUCUUCGCCGCGCUGUGAUGGCAAGCGGGGUGAGGGAGAAGGAGCGAUGUCAGCACAGCGGAGCCCGUACACCCCCCACACACCCACCGUCAGUCGUGAGAAGGUCGAAAGUGAAAAAAAAAAAAACGCUCUCUUCCUUCACAGCUCUUUCACAUUGUUUCUUUUCCUUCUUUACUCUCUCUGCGUGCGUGUGCGUUGAUGGGCAAUGAUGCGGAUAUCUUUUGUUGGUUUGCUUUUUUGCUUUUGCUGCUCCCGUCACCUUCUCUUUCUCUCUCCCGCUCUCCCUCCACCGAUCGCGCACCCAGACAAGAGAGAAAGAGACGAGAGGGAGUAAAACAAGACACCGAAACAAGAUAGAAUGCACUCUGCGCUAGCGUCGCCGGUGCGUGUUCCCCCCUCUUUGCCUUACGCUCUAUAUCUCCAAGCGCUCUGCCACAUGUACUCGUAAGACGCCCUUUUUCGAUUCGACGUUACGCCGUCUUUUUUUUUUGGCUGCGUAGCAGCUGUUUUUUUCUUUUUUUGAUUAUUUAUGUGAUUGUCUUCUCUUCCCCCAAAAAGCCCUCUUGGUUUUCCUCCGCAUCGUCUAUCUUCUGCCUCAUUACGUCCCUUGACGGUAGGUUUGCAUUCAUGUCCCUCUUCACACUCUGCCGGCCGACCCCUUCAACCCCCCCUCCCUCCCUACCUCUUUCUCUGACAUAUUCUGCUCUUUUAUCUGUCAGGCGGAGCCCCGAAAAGGAAAGAAAAGAGCAGGAAAAGCGGCACACGAAUAUAUCACUGCAGGCAGGCUUGACGGUGGGGCGCAGUGCUCUAGCACUCUUACGCGGCAGUGAGGCGGUGGGACGGGAUCAAAAGAAGACAUACAGAGCUUCCGAGGGCAAGCAUGAGACGAGAGAAACGAAAGGAUGUAUGUGUGUAUGUGUGUGUGUGUGCUCCAGGGCACGCUGUGUCACUCUCAUCUUCAUCGCACUUUUUGCUUGACUGCGUCUUCAAUCGAAAAGAGGAAGCAAGAAAGCGAGAAGACGGCUGACGAGUCAACUCUCGAUGUUCUCUUUUUUACUUACCUGGCUUCGUGUUGAUCACUCUCCAUUCCUUCCUCCGUGCAUGUGAACUCUUACGGCAGUGUUUACGCGUAUGUCUUCGUGUGUAAGUGUGUACACGCAGCUGCAUCUUGGGUUUGCUGUGUGUGUGUUUCCUUUGUUCACUUUUGGUUCUUGUCUCUCUCUCUCUUUAUGUUUUUCCUUUUUUUCUUUGGCUCCCGUUGCUGGAUGUGCCCCUGCACAUACAAGAACAACAAGCGAAAAAAAAAGAUACAUGAACGGCGCUCUCUGCCCAGAAAAUAACACCGGGGGCAGAGACGCCCCCACUCCAUCUCAUACACACACACGCACCUCCCUUUACGCGACAGCCAACUCGCUCCUUCUCUCCUCUUUUGUUUGCGCUGCUGCCUCUUCGGGUUUUCCCGUUCUCCCCUCCGCUUUUUUGAUGUUUCUCUCUCUUUUCUACCUCGCUUUUGUUUACACGUUUUGCAUUAGCCCACUCCUUUUGCCGCCUCGAAGACAGAGCAUGUUUGGACCGCGUCUUGCACGCUUCCUGUGACUUCUCCACAACAACCAAACCACUCACAACUCUGUACCGCCGACGCACGCGUGGAGCUCGUGAAACCGAAAGGCGCUCUGGCGAGCGUACAAGGGAAGCCUACUCGGCCCUACGGACGUCUGUGGCGCAGCAUGGAGAGUUAUCUCGCGCGAUGCCAUUGCUUUCAUGCGACCAGCGAUCCG